UACAGAGGUCUCAAGCGUUGUUCGGAUUCAUUGGGCGUAAAGGGCGCGUAGGCGGUUCUGUAAGUCCCGCGUGAAAUCCCCCGGCUCAACUGGGGAACUGCGCGGGAAACUGUGGGGCUAGAGUUCAGGAGAGGGAAGCGGAAUUCCGGGUGUAGCGGUGAAAUGCGUAGAUAUCCGGAGGAACACCGGUGGCGAAGGCGGCUUCCUGGACUGACACUAACGCUGAGGCGCGAAAGCUAGGGGAGCAAACAGG
rnacentral:rRNA from 1 species